rnacentral:rRNA from 1 species
UACGUAGGGUGCGAGCGUUGUCCGGAAUUAUUGGGCGUAAAGAGCUUGUAGGCGGUUUGUCGCGUCUGCUGUGAAAAUCCGGGGCUCAACCCCGGACUUGCAGUGGGUACGGGCAGACUAGAGUGUGGUAGGGGAGACUGGAAUUCCUGGUGUAGCGGUGAAAUGCGCAGAUAUCAGGAGGAACACCGAUGGCGAAGGCAGGUCUCUGGGCCACUACUGACGCUGAGAAGCGGAAAGCAUGGGGGAGCGAACAGG